GCCCCAGUGGUGUAGCGGUAGCACACGUCUUCAGUAUAGAUGAAACACGGGUUUAAUCCCAUCUGAGGCC